rnacentral:tRNA from 1 species
GAGCAUGUGACCUAAUGGACAGGGUGUCUGAUGUCCAGUCAGAAGAUUGUGAGUUUGAGUCCCUCUGUGCUCA